UACGUAGGGUGCGAGCGUUGUCCGGAAUCAUUGGGCGUAAAGAGCGUGUAGGCGGCUUGGUAAGUCCGCUGUGAAAGUCCAGGGCUCAACCCUGGAAUGCCGGUGGAAACUGUCAAGCUUGAGUCCGGAAGAGGCGAGUGGAAUUCCUGGUGUAGCGGUGAAAUGCGCAGAUAUCAGGAAGAACACCCGUGGCUAAGGCGGCUCUCUAGUACGGUACUGACGCUGAGACGCGAAAGCGUGGGGAGCGAACAGG
rnacentral:rRNA from 1 species